AAGCCCUUGAUUGUGGGGAGCAGGAGGAGAGCAGAGAGCACUGCUCCUGAGACUAAGGGGGAGAUUUAAGUACCAAAUUGUUGUUUACCCUUCUGCAAGCUCUCAGCCCCUAAAAUCCUAGAGAUUUCCCUUAAGACAUUUGGGAAGGAAUUUAGAGAAUUAGGGAUUUCUGGAGAUUCACACACCCAUAAAAAUAGGAAAGAAAGACUAUCAGGGCCUCACUACCCUGACUCUUGCUGCCUCCCAAGCUCCAACAGAGCCACUGACACUAACUCUAAUCAUAUCUUGUGCGGCUAUAAAAUAAACGAUAUUAUCGACACCCCUAUAAUUAUCUAUUAUUCGCUUACUUGUGAUAAUUACGAUACUAGAUGAGGCAGGUCUAUGCAGACAAAGUAAAGCCAAGCAAAUACCCUGGAAAAUGAAAGUGAAUCACUGAGGCCUUCAAAAUUUCUUGUCCUUUCUUGAGUAUGUUCCAGAAUCUGUAUGCUCCUGUGUAAGACCUCCCUGGUUUAGGAGUAGCCAUCCUGUAGGGGCCAGGGUGGUAUUGGGAGACCCAACCAUCGUUUUUUCCUCUGUAUCCCAUACACCACCCCCCUCCUCCACACAAACACCGGAGAGGAUCAAACAAUAAAAGGGAAAUGCUUUCUGUCUCUCCUCCAACAAUUAUCCGGAUAAUUGCAUGAAUUCUUCCUUGCAAACUGCUGUGUAGUCAGGGCUGGGAUUUCAGCAGGAAGUGCAGGGGACAGGAUUGCAAAUGGGGGCAACUGAGAGAGUCCGGCAUCCUUACAUUCCCAGACUUUAUAGUUCUGUCUAGUGUUACAUUGUUUCUUCAGGCAAAGAUCUUUGUUCCCCUUCAGUCAUAUUUCUCCCUUCCCCCUCCCUUUCUCUCUCCCCCUCCCCCCUUUUUUGGUCCCUUUAAAGGAGACUCAGACCACCUUCUGCUCUUAAUAGAUAACUAUAAAAGCAAAAUUAAUUCCCGCCUGCCUUUUAAUAUCAAUAUCUCUCUGUUAAGUAUGCACAUUGGUGAGAAUAAACAGAAUUAAGUGCUGCAGCCCAAACCAACAAUUACAUCCAAGGUUUGUGUUGUUCUUUUUUUCCAUUGAGUCAGGCUUAUCUGGGUUGUUCGCUCUGCAGCAAGUAACCAGGGGGUAUUUGUAUUAUUAUUAUUUUUUUACGAGCUUGUUGGGGCCUGGGCCAGCACCAACUCAUAGAAAAAGCAACCACGAAGACAGAGAGAGAGCCAAAAGAGGGAAGAGGGCACCAGAAGGAGAUGAAAGGGAGCCACACAGAAAAAAGAGGCGGCGGCAGGCCCCGGAACAAACGUGGCAGAGGGGGAGACAGGCACUCAUGUGCGUGAUUAUGCAGUCAGACCCUGCUGCAAAUGGACUAGACCCCCACUUCAGAUGAGAGAUACAACAGGGAAAUAGAAGUCGGAGACCGCUAAUGAAAAUAAUCCAUGUAGACAUAGAAGGAGUUUUUAAAAGACAGAAAUACAGAACGACAGGAAAGAAGUUCAGCCGAUGGAGAGCGUCAUUGCCAAUGCCUGAGCUUCCUCCUGCUACUGUGUUUAAGAUCUCCAGAGAAACGUGUAUUAUAAAUACAAUAAUUUGUGAACUCAAAAACUGUACUUCCAUGUAUUUGGUACACAUACACCAUGUGUGCAAACAUAAUUUACAGAAGAUAUUUUUCAUACACUGGGUAGAUAUGCAUUUUGUCUAUAUAUAAUAAUAUGAUGUAUUUUCCAUGUAAUUUUUUAAUGUGGAUAUAUUAAAAUGGAUGCAUUUUCCAUGCACUGAUUUUAUAUGUCCUAUGGAGUGGAUACAUUCAUGUAGCUAAAUAGAUGCAGGACUGUACAUUCAGUGUGUACGAUAUAUAUAUAACAGUACUGUUUAUAAAUGUAAACAAAUUUUUACGUAUGGUGGAUAUUCAUGCUAUAUGUAAUCUUUUCCCAGGAGGUUGCUUUCCCAUACAAUAGAUAAAAGUCCCUCUGUAUGUAUAUUUUCUAGAGAAAUAUAUUUUCCAUGUCCAGAAUAUAUGUGUAAUAUAGAUAUCUGUGCAUUUUAGACCGUUUCAAUAUAUUGGUUAUGUCCGCAGUA